rnacentral:rRNA from 1 species
GGAUAGAAUUUAAGGUUUAACCUGCCCACUGAUUAUUUUAAUGGCCGCAGUAUUUUGACUGUGCAAAGGUAGCAUAAUCAUUAGUUUUUUAAUUGAGAGCUUGUAUGAAUGGUUGGACGAGAUAUAAUCUGUCUUUAGUUUAUAAAUAGAAUUUAAUUUUUAAGUUAAAAAGCUUAAAUGAAUUUAAAAGACGAGAAGACCCCAUAGAUCUUUAUAUGUAUAUAAAUUUAAUUUUUAAGGAUUAUAAAUUUUUAUAUUUUUAUAUUUAUUUAAUUGGGGUAAUUAAAAGAUUUAUAGAAUUCUUUUUAUUUUGAACAUUAAUAAAUGAUUUAAAUGAUCCAUUAUUAUUGAUUAUAAGAUUAAGUUACCUUGGGGAUAACAGCGUAAUUUUUUUUGAGAGUUCUUAUUGAUAAAAAAGUUUGCGACCUCGAUGUUGGAUUAAAGUUAAUUUUGGGUGUAGAAGUUCAAAGUUUUAGUCUGUUCGACUAUUAAAAUUUUACAUGAUCUGAGUUCAAACCGGUGUAAGCCAGGUUGGUUUCUAUCUUUAAUUAAUUAAUAUAUUUUAGUACGAAAGGACCAAGUAUUUGAUAUGAAGUAUUUAAGUAUUUGAAUAAAA